AAGUCGAGCAGGGUCGAAAGACGGACUUAGUGAUCCGGUGGUUCCGCAUGGAAGGGCCAUCGCUCAACGGAUAAAAGCUACCCCGGGGAUAACAGGCUUAUCUCCCCCAAGAGUUCACAUCGACGGGGAGGUUUGGCACCUCGAUGUCGGCUCAUCGCAUCCUGGGGCUGUAGUCGGUCCCAAGGGUUGGGCUGUUCGCCCAUUAAAGCGGUACGCGAGCUGGGUUCAGAACGUCGUGAGACAGUUCGGUCCCUAUCCGUCGUGGGCGUAGGAAAUUUGAGAGGAGCUGUCCUUAGUACGAGAGGACCGGGAUGGACAUACCUCUGGUGUACCAGUUGUCGUGCCAACGGCAUAGCUGGGUAGCUAUGUGUGGACGGGAUAAGUGCUGAAAGCAUCUAAGCAUGAAGCCCCCCUCAAGAUGAGAUUUCCCAACUUCGGUUAUAAGAUCCCUCAAAGAUGAUGAGGUUAAUAGGUUCGAGGUGGAAGCAUGGUGACAU
rnacentral:rRNA from 1 species